rfam:Oryza glumipatula chromosome 5, whole genome shotgun sequence.
AAUAAGUACAGUUUUAGCACUAUUUAUAUCCAAUAUUUGACCGUUCGUCUUAUUUAAAAAAAGAUUAUGAUUAGUAUUUUUAUUGUUAUUAGGUAAUAAAACAUGAAUAGUACUUUAUAUGUGACUAAUUUUUUUAAUAUUUUCUAUAAAUUUUUUAAAUAAGACGAAUGGUCAAAACACUGAAUACGGAUAUCUGCACUUAUU